UGAGUAACACGUGGGCAACCUGCCUGUAAGACUGGGAUAACUCCGGGAAACCGGGGCUAAUACCGGAUAAUCCUUCUUGCCACAUGGUGAGGAGUCAAAAGGCGGCUUUUAGCUGUCACUUACAGAUGGGCCCGCGGCGCAUUAGCUAGUUGGUGGGGUAAAGGCUCACCAAGGCGACGAUGCGUAGCCGACCUGAGAGGGUGAUCGGCCACACUGGGACUGAGACACGGCCCAGACUCCUACGGGAGGCAGCAGUAGGGAAUCUUCCGCAAUGGACGAAAGUCUGACGGAGCAACGCCGCGUGAGUGAUGAAGGUCUUCGGAUCGUAAAACUCUGUUGUCAGGGAAGAACAAGUAUGGUAGUAACUGACCGUACCUUGACGGUACCUGACCAGAAAGCCCCGGCUAACUACGUGCCAGCAGCCGCGGUAAUACGUAGGGGGCAAGCGUUGUCCGGAAUUAUUGGGCGUAAAGCGCGCGCAGGCGGUCCUUUAAGUCUGAUGUGAA
rnacentral:rRNA from 1 species